rnacentral:rRNA from 1 species
GGACUUCUGGUUUAAUGCACCUGGCCCGCGGCCCACAAGGCCUGUGAGUGCCGGCGCUACCAUCCUUCCAGCAACGGCUACCCUUAACUGGGCGGCUGGAACUGGAUCUUUUACUUUGCUAGGACUUCGGUUCUAUUUUGUUGGUUUCGAGAACUGAAGUAAUGAUUGAUAGGGAUAGUUGGGGGUGCUAGUAUUGGCCGGUCACCAAGGAUGUCUUCUUCUGUCUCUUAUACACAUCUCCGAGCCCACGAGA